rnacentral:rRNA from 1 species
GCCUCAUAGACUGGGACAACUAUUGGAAACGAUAGCUAAUACCGGAUAACAGCAUUAACUGCAUGGUUGAUGUUUAAAAGUUGGUUUUGCUAACACUAUGAGAUGGCUUUGCGGUGCAUUAGCUAGUUGGUGGGGUAAAGGCCUACCAAGGCGACGAUGCAUAGCCGACCUGAGAGGGUGAUCGGCCACACUGGGACUGAGACACGGCCCAGACUCCUACGGGAGGCAGCAGCC